rnacentral:rRNA from 1 species
GACGAACGCUGGCGGCGUGCUUAACACAUGCAAGUCGAACGGAAAGGCCUGCUUUCCCUUGUGGAUUGCGGGUACUCGAGUGGCGAACGGGUGAGUAACACGUGAGUGAUCUGCCCCCAACUUGGGUAUAAGCCUGGGAAACUGGGUCUAAUUCCCGAUAGGACUGCAGGGUGGUGCCUGUGGUGGAAAACGAUUUUCUAGUGGUUGGGGAUGAGCUCGCGGCCUAUCAGCUUGUUGGUGGGGUAAUGGCCUACCAAGGCGGCGACGGGUAGCCGGCCUGAGAGGGUGGACGGCCACAUUGUGACUGAGAUACGGCCCAGACUCCUACGGGAGGCAGCAGUGGGGAAUAUUGCACAAUGGGCGGAAGCCUGAUGCAGCGACGCCGCGUGGGGGAUGACGGCCUUCGGGUUGUAAACUCCUUUCGACCGCGAGGAAGCCACCUGGUUGGAAGGGUGGUGACGGUAGUGGUAGAAGAAGCACCGGCUAACUACGUG